rnacentral:rRNA from 1 species
CCUGGCUCAGGAUGAACGCUAGCUACAGGCUUAACACAUGCAAGUCGAGGGGCAGCAUGGUCUUAGCUUGCUAAGACUGAUGGCGACCGGCGCACGGGUGAGUAACACGUAUCCNACCUGCCGUCUACUCUUGGACAGCCUUCUGAAAGGAAGAUUAAUACAAGAUGGCAUCAUGAGUCCGCAUGUUCACAUGAUUAAAGGUAUUCCGGUAGACGAUGGGGAUGCGUUCCAUUAGAUAGUAGGCGGGGUAACGGCCCACCUAGUCUUCGAUGGAUAGGGGUUCUGAGAGGAAGGUCCCCCACAUUGGAACUGAGACACGGUCCAAACUCCUACGGGAGGCAGCAGUGAGGAAUAUUGGUCAAUGGGCGAGAGCCUGAACCAGCCAAGUAGCGUGAAGGAUGACUGCCCUAUGGGUUGUAAACUUCUUUUAUAAAGGAAUAAAGUCGGGUAUGGAUACCCGUUUGCAUGUACUUUAUGAAUAAGGAUCGGCUAACUCCGUGCCAGCAGCCGCGGUAAUACGGAGGAUCCGAGCGUUAUCCGGAUUUAUUGGGUUUAAAGGGAGCGUAGAUGGAUGUUUAAGUCAGUUGUGAAAGUUUGCGGCUCCACCGUAAAAUUGCAGUUGAUACUGGAUAUCUUGAGUGCAGUUGAGGCAGGCGGAAUUCGUGGUGUAGCGGUGAAAUGCUUAGAUAUCACGAAGAACUCCGAUUGCGAAGGCAGCCUGCUAAGCUGCAACUGACAUUGAGGCUCGAAAGUGUGGGUAUCAAACAGGAUUAGAUACCCUGGUAGUCCACACGGUAAACGAUGAAUACUCGCUGUUUGCGAUAUACUGCAAGCGGCCAAGCGAAAGCGUUAAGUAUUCCACCUGGGGAGUACGCCGGCAACGGUGAAACUCAAAGGAAUUGACGGGGGCCCGCACAAGCGGAGGAACAUGUGGUUUAAUUCGAUGAUACGCGAGGAACCUUACCCGGGCUUAAAUUGCAGAUGAAUUACGGUGAAAGCCGUAAGCCGCAAGGCAUCUGUGAAGGUGCUGCAUGGUUGUCGUCAGCUCGUGCCGUGAGGUGUCGGCUUAAGUGCCAUAACGAGCGCAACCCUUGUUGUCAGUUACUAACAGGUUCCGCUGAGGACUCUGACAAGACUGCCAUCGUAAGAUGUGAGGAAGGUGGGGAUGACGUCAAAUCAGCACGGCCCUUACGUCCGGGGCUACACACGUGUUACAAUGGGGGGUACAGAGGGCCGCUACCACGCGAGUGGAUGCCAAUCCCCAAAACCUCUCUCAGUUCGGACUGGAGUCUGCAACCCGACUCCACGAAGCUGGAUUCGCUAGUAAUCGCGCAUCAGCCACGGCGCGGUGAAUACGUUCCCGGGCCUUGUACACACCGCCC